GUGAACGAGCGACGCCGCGUGCGGGAUGAAGGCCUUCGGGUUGUAAACUCCUGUCACGGGUUAAGAAGAGUGGUUUGACUAAUACUUGAGCCUUUCUGACAAAGGCCCGAGAGGAAGCCACGGCUAACUCUGUGCCAGCAGCCGCGGUAAUUCAGAGGUGGCAAGCGUUGUUCGGAACCACUGGGCGUAAAGGGCGCGUAGGCGGUGGCGUAAGUUCGUGGUGAAAUCCCCCGGCUCAACCGGGGAAUGGCUGCGAAUACUGCGUCGCUUGAGGAUGAGAGGGGAGAGUGGAACUUCUGGUGGAGCGGUGAAAUGCGUAGAUAUCAGAAGGAACGCCGGAGGCGAAAGCGACUCUCUGGAUCAUUCCUGACGCUGAGGCGCGAAAGCUAGGGGAGCAAAAGGGAUUAGAUACCCCUGUAGUCCUAGCCGUAAACGAU
rnacentral:rRNA from 1 species